ACGAAACAAUUUGCGUGGUGUGAGUGGGUUUGGCAACAUCAUGACACAUGCUUGUUCCAGAAUUGUUCCUUUUUCUAUUCAUUUUAUAGUACUGUUACAUGAUUACAAUAACAAAAUGACAACAUGACGAACAAUGUGGAUUUUAAAAUUUUGUGUCACGUUUCUAACAAGUUCGAGAGAAUCCAACGGCCAAGAUUACAUCAUCAGCAGCAAUUAUAUGCCGUUUGGGACAAUCGGAUGGGCAAAAAGAAGAGAUGACGAUAAUGAGUCCCACAAAUAAAAAUGCACAUAAAAAAGCUUUAAAAGCCCACUCUCAGUACAAGUAGAUGCCGUUGGACUCUGUCUUUCCUUUUUCUUUAUUCCUCCAAAACGCAUCAUUGGCUUCGUCCCUCUCGAGCCAUUAUGGUCUGCCAAUAGUAGCACAACAUUUGGCAUGUUAAGUUACCUCACGUGCACAACUCAUGUGAACAUUUGUUUUUCUAGGUCCACCGGGCCUAGAUUUAUUAAGAAAAGGAAGAUAGUUCAAAGGAAACACAAAAGCCACAGGAGCAAGGGUUUAGUCACGCCAACAUAUAUAAAGAACUAGAAUAAACUGAAACCAAAUGGAGCUUUCUCUUCUACACCAUGAUAGAAGAGCGAUCAUGAUCAUUAGAUCAUGAAUUCAUGCCGGUUACCCUUUUGAGAUACUCGUUGAAAAUCGUUAACUACACUCUUGGCAAUCAUAUAUACCUUAGUUUGUAGCCGGUGAUUCACUUUUCAGAUCC